rnacentral:rRNA from 1 species
GACGGAGGGUGCAAGCGUUGCUCGGAAUCGACUGGGCGUAAAGGGUGCGAGUAGGCGGUCGUCGCAAGUCUGGCGUGAAAGCCCAAGGCUCAGCCUUGGAAGUGCGCUCGAAACGGCGAGGCUGGAGUGCCGGAGGGGGAGAGUGGAAUUCCCGGUGAGCGGUGAAAUGCGUAGAGAUCGGGAGGAAUACGGUGGCGAAAGCGACUCUCUGGACGGCAACUGACGCUGAGGCACGAAAGCGUGGGGAGCAAACAGG